AAUAAAGUAAUUUAUAUUUACGGAUGAAUUUCAUUUUUUACUUUUGUUUUGGGGAUUCACAAAAAGGUUUGUAGCCACUUAAUGAAGGGAAUCUUAAAAUGCUCAUAACAAAAAGAGAAAGUUGUGGAUGUCUUUACAAUGCCGAGCAAAUCAAGUAUUCAUAUAUCAAAUCCCUAAAUAAAUCAAUCCAUUGAUUUGUCAUUUCGGCUUCCUCAAUUGAUCCUACAUUUGAACUGUUUUCCAGCUUGAUCCUCAAUGACUAUUUCAAAUUUCUGUGCCAUCAAAGUUAUAAAUUACAAGACAUCAAAUCAGAAUCCUGUGAUAAAUAACAUAUAUAUGUAAUUAUAAACCAAAAUAUCAUUGAAGAUUUGAAGGACUUGAAUAUACCAACAGAACCGAGGAAUUAAGCGAAACAAGCAUAACACAACAUAANNN
rnacentral:lncRNA from 1 species